CUUCCAGAUGGCACAUGUGUGAGAGCCUGGUGGGAUUCUGUAGGUGUUCCAUUCUUGCACAUUCUAGAAGCCAGGAGCAGAGAGUGAGAAGCAAGCAAUGAACUGAAUCAUGCCACCCUGGAAAAGGAAUACCAGGGCUGAGGCUGACCCUUGCUGUGGGAGAUGAGGCAGGCAAAGAGAGCCCUGAGGGCUGGGAAGAGUCCACUCCAAGCUGUCUCUCGGCAGCUCCAGGAACCACAGAGGACCUCAGAAGCAAGUCCAGCAGGUGUGAGCUUCCAGUGAAGAUGUACCUACAGGCCAUCAAAAUGCCCUGGAGAGCCGUGGAGUGUCCUUCCAUCCAUUUCUGUAGUUGGCAGUGAAGAAGCUGGAAUGCGGCUUACGGGCAUCAGCCUUACAGCCUGGUGCUCCCAAUCUGACUGGAUGCCCCUGCAGGGCCUGUUGUCCUGCCAGGCUGGAGCUGUUGGCCUUGGAGGAGCAAUGGUGGCUCAACUAGGUGUUGGUCCCAGGAUUAAGCAGGGGGGCACCCAGCAAGCACACAGUAAAAGUCUGUUGAAUGACUGAACCCUUGUCACUAGAAGUCAAGAAAUUAAAACAACUAUGCUGCCUUUUACUUCUCAGGCUAAAAGAAUGAAARUAUUCUGUGUUGGCAAGAACUGGGA
rnacentral:lncRNA from 1 species